UGAACGCUGGCGGCGUGCCUAAUACAUGCAAGUCGAGCGAACAGACGAGGAGCUUGCUCCUCUGACGUUAGCGGCGGAUGGGUGAGUAACACGUGGAUAACCUACCUAUAAGACUGGGAUAACUUCGGGAAACCGGAGCUAAUACCGGAUAAUAUAUUGAACCGCAUGGUUCAAUAGUGAAAGACGGUUUUGCUGUCACUUAUAGAUGGAUCCGCGCCGCAUUAGCUAGUUGGUAAGGUAACGGCUUACCAAGGCGACGAUGCGUAGCCGACCUGAGAGGGUGAUCGGCCACACUGGAACUGAGACACGGUCCAGACUCCUACGGGAGGCAGCAGUAGGGAAUCUUCCGCAAUGGGCGAAAGCCUGACGGAGCAACGCCGCGUGAGUGAUGAAGGUCUUCGGAUCGUAAAACUCUGUUAUUAGGGAAGAACAAAUGUGUAAGUAACUAUGCACGUCUUGACGGUACCUAAUCAGAAAGCCACGGCUAACUACGUG
rnacentral:rRNA from 1 species